AGGCGGGGUUCCGAGGAAGGGCUCCGAGGAGCUGCGCUUAGGUUUGGCAGGGGCUGGGGUCACCCAAGAGUCCUCUCGGAGGUAAUCAUCAUCAUACUACAGUUUACAAGGAGGGGAAAGGGGAGCAAAUAUCUCCGCAGGAAGGAGGAGAAUGUGGCAUAGGGUAUGUUUCAUGCCUUUUUGGAGAGACACAGCAUCUGAUAUGAAGCUUUUCCCCUCCUCCUCCAACCAGUUAGGAGUGGCAGAUGGCAUAGCCAAUCUGGAGAUCAUCCUCAAGUUUCCACUGGAGCUGGUGUUGGCUUGGCAAGGGUUUUUGAAUCUCCAUUUGCUUUAAGAAGGUCACAUAAAGAGUCUACCCAAGGACCAGCUCACUGGUGCCUAUCACUCCUACGCACCCUCAUCCAAAAAGUUUCUAGCAGGGAAAGGGGACCUCAUGCAGAACCUUUAGGGAAAGCUACCAGCAGGGAUAAGGGAAUGCAAGGAUGGCAUCUUUAAAGACCCCUCAUGUCUGGAGGCUGUAGUGGUAUGUGCCCAGCAGGUGUGUGACGCCCAUCAGAUGUGCCCCAUGCUGGAACCAGUUGCUGCACACCAUCACGGACAGGAAUCAGACUGGGUGAAGACAAGUGAAGCCAGCACCAAGGAAGGACAGCUCACAGACUUACUUUAAUGGGAGGUGCUGAUCUGGUACCUCAUGGUCGAGUGGGACAAAUGUCAUCAUGGAAACCAACGGAAA